rnacentral:rRNA from 1 species
UCUUAAAAAUAAAUUGAUUUAUUCUACUAGGGAACUACAAAUAAAUACAUUUAAAACCCAAAGAGCUUGGCGGUGUUUUAGACCUCUUAGGGGAGCUUGUUUCAUAAUCGACAAUCCACGAUAAACCUAACUUUUCCUUGCAAAUAUCAGUAUGUAUACCGUUGUCGUAAGAUAACUUUUAAAAAUUAAGAAGUUAACAAAGAAAAAAUAAAUUUAGACGUCAAAUCAAGGCAUAGCUAAUGGAAAAGAGAGAAUGAGCUACAAUUAAUAUUUAUAAUACAGAUUAAUUUAAGAAAUAAAAUUAUAAAGGCGGACUUAAAAGUAAAGAAAUAAUUAGAAAAAUUUCUAGAAUCUGGCUCUGAAACGUGC